UACAGAGGUCUCGAGCGUUAGGCGGAAUCACUGGGCUUAAAGCGUGUGUAGGUGGAUCGUUAAGUACCUUGUGAAAUCCCACGGCUUAACCGUGGAACUGCUUGGUAUACUGGCGGUCUUGAGCCAGCUAGGGGCUACCGGAACAAAUGGUGGAGCGGUGAAAUGCGUAGAUAUCGUCAGGAACGCCAAUGGUGAAGACAGGUGACUGGGCUCGAUCUGACACUGAGGCACGAAAGCGUGGGGAGCGAACGGG
rnacentral:rRNA from 1 species